rnacentral:rRNA from 1 species
GACGAACGCUGGCGGCGUGCUUAACACAUGCAAGUCGAACGGAAAGGCCCCUUUUGGGGUACUCGAGUGGCGAACGGGCGAGUAACACGUGAGUAACCUGCCCUUGACUUCGGGAUAACUUCAUGAAACUGGGGCUAAUACCGGCUAGGAAUCCUUGCUGCCUGGUGGGGGUUGGAAAGCUUCGGCGGUUUUGGAUGGACUCGCGGCUUAUCAGCUUGUUUGUGGGGUAGUGGCUUACCAAGGCUUUGACGGGUAGCCGGCCUGGGGGGGCGACCGGCCACAUUGGGACUGAGAUACGGCCCAGACUCCUACGGGAGGCAGCAGUGGGGAAUAUUGCACAAUGGGCGGAAGCCUGAUGCAGCAACGGCGCGUGCGGGAUGACGGCCUUCGGGUUGUAAACCGCUUUCAGCAGGGGCGAAGCUUGUGGUGACGGUACCUGCAGAAGAAGCACCGGCUAACUACGUG